UUGUAUUUAUGGUGACCACCACACCACCUCUCCUAACAUCUCCAACGGUCGCCGGUGGCAGCCAUUCUAAUGCCAAAGAGAAGGCAUACAAUAAGAUAACGUGUUAAUCAAGGAGAAAAGAUCGAUAGAUGGUGGUGUUUUAAUGUAGGCACUCACGUCUCGAGGCCAAUUGACCAGAUCUGACCACGGUUAGGGGUUCUCUGGAUAUUCAGUAAAAGGGUUUAUGUGGCUUCAAAUGUCACAUAUAUGGGUUAAGGGGUCAAGUUAUUCUACAAAUACUCCUAAUUGUAAGAAGUGUAAGAAAGAUUUAUAGUGUGACAAGGGUCCAAUAACCUAAAACAUAAACCCACUACACCACCACCCAAAACCUAAACACACACCCCUUCUCGACAAACAAUUUUUUUUGGGUGGAUGAUGGGGGGUGGGGGUGGGGGGUGGGUGGUUUAGGUUUUUGGGUGGUGGUGGGUGUUUAGGUUUUUUUUUUUUUUUUUUUUUUUUUGUAGUGGGUUUUUUUUAAAAGCCUUUGUACCCUUCUUACAAUAAGGAGCCUUUGUAUUUGAUCCUAAUCCCACAUAUACAUAUUAUUUUAUUCUUUAUGAGUUAACAUCGAAUUAGUUAGCGAAGUGGGGGUUUUAUGAUCAUAUUGGUGAUAAAUUGAAGGCGACGACGAUUAUUAGGGAUGGUAUUUCUGGUUCAUUAUCAUGGUGAUGAACUGCCGCCAUACCUUCGGCAAUGGUAUCGUAUGAUAGAAGUGAUAUUACAGUUGGUUGAAACUGGGAAGAACGAGCUGUAA
rnacentral:lncRNA from 1 species